rnacentral:rRNA from 1 species
UACGUAGGUGGCAAGCGUUGUCCGGAUUUACUGGGCGUAAAGAGCGCGCAGGCGGUCGUUCAAGUCGCGUGUGAAAGCCCCCGGCUCAACUGGGGAGGGUCACGCGAUACUGAUCGACUCGAAGGCAGGAGAGGGAAGUGGAAUUCCCGGUGUAGUGGUGAAAUGCGUAGAGAUCGGGAGGAACACCGGUGGCGAAGGCGGGUCUCUGGGCAUCUCCUGACGCUGAGGCGCGAAAGCGUGGGGAGCAAACGGG